GCGGGACGACUUCCCUAUUCAUGCAGUUCGAGCGAACAGAAGGGGAGCUUGCUCCCCGGAUGUUAGCGGCGGACGGGUGAGUAACACGUGGGUAACCUGCCUGUAAGACUGGGAUAACUCCGGGAAACCGGAGCUAAUACCGGAUAGUUCCUUGAACCGCAUGGUUCAAGGAUGAAAGACGGUUUCGGCUGUCACUUACAGAUGGACCCGCGGCGCAUUAGCUAGUUGGUGGGGUAAUGGCUCACCAAGGCGACGAUGCGUAGCCGACCUGAGAGGGUGAUCGGCCACACUGGGACUGAGACACGGCCCAGACUCCUACGGGAGGCAGCAGUAGGGAAUCUUCCGCAAUGGACGAAAGUCUGACGGAGCAACGCCGCGUGAGUGAUGAAGGUUUUCGGAUCGUAAAGCUCUGUUGUUAGGGAAGAACAAGUGCGAGAGUAACUGCUCGCACCUUGACGGUACCUAACCAGAAAGCCACGGCUAACUACGUGCCAGCAGCCGCGGUAAUACGUAGGUGGCAAGCGUUGUCCGGAAUUAUUGGGCGUAAAGGGCUCGCAGGCGGUUUCUUAAGUCUGAUGUGAAAGCCCCCGGCUCAACCGGGGAGGGUCAUUGGAAACUGGGAAACUUGAGUGCAGAAGAGGAGAGUGGAAUUCCACGUGUAGCGGUGAAAUGCGUAGAGAUGUGGAGG
rnacentral:rRNA from 1 species